AGCAACAAGAUGCUAGUCAGAAGGGGAAGAUGUUUUGCAAGAUAAAGCUAUACUCUUUAGAGCGUAGAUGCUAAGUGCACAGCCCUUAUUGAUUCCUACCUCCCAAAUCUAAGCAAAAACACGUAUGAAUUAGAUUAGCUUCAUCAUUUAAUAGGAAAUCUAUUACACAGAAGAUCUUAUCAGCACUAAGGAAAUAUUUACAGGUAAAUAUCGAUUUGUGCCCGCAUAGUUCUGAAAGCUUUAUUUAAAUAUAGAAAACUCUUCUUAAAAACCGCAACUGUUUUUAUCUUUUUAAAUGAGGUGGUUAAAACAGAUGUCACAUGCCUCAAAUCCAGACAACUUAUGAGGGGUAAGUAAAUAUGCAAAUUAUCCCCCUUAAAAAACAGUAAUUAAUAUGGGAUCAGCUUCAGAAACUCUGGCUAACCUGCCCUGAAAAAUUAUUUACAAUUUUGUCUUUGUAUAUGCUAUUUGGAGAGAGGAUCCAAGUCUUUGAAGAUUCUCAACAUGUUGGUGAUCACGGAAGGCCUAAGUAGUCUGACUCGACUUCCGCUCCCUCAAACAAGCACCAUGAUCGAAACUUCCCACCUAGUUUCCUGUCCUUGAAUAUCCAACAAGGAUCACCCAGGAAAAAACCAUGAAAUGUUGUUACGGAAAAACAACAGAUACAUACCUGCCCGAAGCCUUGCUGUGGUUAAAAAGCUAUGUGCUCCCCAUUAUGAAACCCAGCCGAGAGGAAGUGAGAAUGCCUGCCAGCUUUCAUGCUUUGGACUUCAGCCAGUGUAACAGCAUUUGGAGAAGAAAUCGAGGGUUUGGUGAAGAAGAAGGGGAGCCCUGAGUUCCAGCCACCUACUGUGAGCCGUCCCAAGUCAGACGCUCAGUCCCGCCCCUGGGCAAAUGCAGAAGGUCAUUUUUUUUCCAGUGCUUGUUCAAAUCCCACUCAAAUCCCAUGCUUCUCUUUGGGUCCCCACACCUUCUCCGGCUCUCCUCUACAGCAUUUAUCAGAUAGCAUGUCCUCAUCACCUUAUAUCCCCGACAAGAGCUUAAACUAACUGGACCUUGGCAUGCAAAGACGAGAACUUUUUGAGAAAGAAGCUUGGAACUGAACAAAUAUGAUUCCUUUCAUUUUAUACAAGAGGAAACCAAGGCCAACAUGUUAACGA